CCAUUGUUCAAAUCUUCAUGGGUUUUGAUGCCGAAGAAGAUGGAUCCAAUGCCCGCAAUUAUGACCAAGAAGAGCAAUAAAAGAUGAAAUCUGUGUUCCGAAGCUUUGAGUCACGAAGAAGAAGCUGUUGAGGCGAGAGGGAGUGUUGCUGGUCUUGGUAUUCCAUGCUUCCCACAAACGUAUAGAGCAACAAUGGCAAAUGAGGCUGUUGUACAUUGGAGGAUAUUUCAGCAGGUC